rnacentral:rRNA from 1 species
UACAGAGGUCCCAAGCGUUGUUCGGAUUCAUUGGGCGUAAAGGGUGCGUAGGCGGCGCGGUAAGUCGGGUGUGAAAUCUCGGGGCUUAACUUCGAAACUGCAUUCGAUACUGCCGUGCUAGAGGACUGGAGAGGAGACUGGAAUUUACGGUGUAGCGGUGAAAUGCGUAGAUAUCGUAAGGAAGACCAGUGGCGAAGGCGGGUCUCUGGGCCGAUACUGACGCUGAGGAGCGAAAGCGUGGGGAGCGAACAGG